AGUCAUGCAAAUAGGGCCCUCCAUCUGCUGAUGAAAACCAGCCCAACCCUGACUCUGAAGUUCUGGGAGAGGAUCCCUGGCCCCAGGAUCCCAGGUGCUCCCACUUGGGGAUCAGGACUGAACACAGACCACUCACUAUGGGGUUUGGGCUGAGCUGAGUUGUCCUGGUUGCUAUUUUACAAGAAAACUGAUGGAGAACAAGACAUCCUGAGGAUGAGAGUAGAUGUGUCCUGUCCCAGGUGCAGCUGCAGGUUCCGGCCCAGGACUGGUGAAGCCGUCCCAGACACUAUCCCUCGCCUGUGCAUCUCUGGUUCCCCCAUACCAGUGGCCACUGGGGAGUUGGACCCACCAGCCCCCAGGGAAGCGGGAGAGUGGAGAUCUUUGACCUAUAAAGAUUUGUUGGAAUCAGAGAGAAUCCUUUUCUCCUGCAGAAAAGCAGAGUCACUUCCUGACACUUUCUUCUGUCACCAAAUGCCAAGUAAUUUCCAAAUCUAUGGAGGCUUGAAGAGAUUUCCGGGAGCGGUGACUCUCAUCUGCUCGAAGAUGAGCCCACUGUGGACCUUCCUCUUCCUGCUGUCAGCUCCCAGCGGGGUCCUGUCCCAGGUGCAGCUGCGGGAGUCGGGACCCAGCCUGGUGAAGCCCUCACAGACCCUCUCCCUCACCUGCGCUGUCUCUGGAUUCUCACUAACUGGCUACGGUAUACACUGGGUCCGCCAGGCUCCAGGCAAGGCGCUGGAGUGGGUUGGUGGAAUAUGUAGUGGUGGAAGCACAUACUAUAACCCAGCCCUGAAAUCCCGGCUCAGCAUCACCAGAGACACCUCCAAGAGCCAAGUCUCUCUAUCACUGAGCAGCGUGACACCUGAGGACACGGCCGUGUAUUACUGUGGAAGAGACACAGAGAACUGUGUUGUCAAGGGAAAGGUGUAG